UCCCCUGUAGCUCAGUGGCAGAGCACUCCAAUCAUCUCUAUUCUUAGGAGAAGGCCGCGGUUCGAGUCCGCGUAGGGGAG